rfam:Mus musculus chromosome 5, GRC primary reference assembly.
GGGGAGAUGGCUCAGUGGUUAAGAGCACUGGCUGAUCUCCCAGAGGUCCUGAGUUCAAUUCCCAGCAACCACA